ensembl:snRNA U6 U6 spliceosomal RNA
GUGCUCACUUCGGCAGCACAUAUACUAAAAUUGGAACGAUACAGAGAAGAUUAGCAUGGCCCCUGCACAAGAAUGACAUGCAAAUUUAUGAAGUGUUCCAUAUUUUU